rnacentral:snoRNA from 1 species
UCCAGCUGUAGGCGACUGCCUACGGUUGCUUUGUACCUAGGCAAGUGUUACACUGCUGGGAGAAAAACAAGCAAUAGUUGAUGGGCAUUCUGGGUGUGGUUGAUGCCAAAGCUAUGUUAAUUAUAGCAGUAUGCAGCAUGGUCAUU